AUAUGCAAAUAAACUUUUCUUUCCAGUAUUUGUUCUUUUCAGCUUAAUAUAUGAGAGGGGUCCUAUAUGAGUCCACGAUAUUAACUUUAUUUUUGUACCGAAGUGGGGUUCUCCGGGCUUGCCCGGAACCUGCCAGGCUCGGUCCUGCAUUGCAGUAUAGCAGGGAUCUGCCCAGUUCCU
rnacentral:snRNA from 1 species